rnacentral:rRNA from 1 species
UUAGUCCCUUGUUAAAACCACCGAAUCAAUCGGUGGAUUGCGGGGGAUACUGCUUGGCUAGGGGACGAGAGAGGCAGACGGUAUUUCCGGGGUAGGAGUGAAAUCCUAUAAUCCCGGGAAGACCACCAGUGGCGAAGGCUGUCUGCUAGAACGCGCCCGACGGUGAGGGAUGAAAGCUGGGGGAGCGAACCGGAUUAGAUACCCGGGUAGUCCCAGCUGUAAACGAUGCAGACUAGGUGUUUGGACGGCCACGUGCCGUUCUAGUGCCGCAGGGAAACUGUUAAGUCUGCCGCCUGGGGAGUACGAUCGCAAGAUUGAAACUUAAAGGAAUUGGCGGGGGAGCACCACAAGGGGUGAAGCUUGCGGUUUAAUUGGAGUCAACGCCGGAAAUCUCACCGGGAGCGACAGCAGUAUGAAGGCCAGAUUAAAGGUCUUGCUAGACGAGCUGAGAGGAGGUGCAUGGCCGUCGCCAGUUCGUGCCGUGAGGUGUCCUGUUAAGUCAGGUAACGAGCGAGAUCCCUAUCUCUAGUUGCUACUGCUGCUCUCAGGAGUAGUAGAGCUAAUUAGAGGGACCGCCGCCGCUGAGGCGGAGGAAGGAGGGGGCUACGGCAGGUCAGUAUGCCCCGAAACCCUCGGGCCACACGCGGGCUGCAAUGGUAAGGACAAUGGGUUCCUAUUCCGAAAGGAGGAGGCAAUCCCCAAACCUUACCCCAGUUAUGAUUGAGGGCUGAAACUCGCCCUUAUGAAUAUGGAAUCCCUAGUAACCGCGUGUCAUCAUCGCGCGG